GAGUUAUGUCACUAAAGUAUUAUAAAUAGAAGACAUGAGCUUUGGAGAGAAAUGGGCUGCCGAAUUAUAAAAACUCUGAAUUAUAAAGUAUUAUAAAUAGAAGACAUGUGAGGUGUAAAGAGACAUGUCACUAAAGUAUUAUAAAAACUCCAUUUUGGUGGCUGCCGAAUUAUUGAGAGAAAGGGGGAGAAGAGAGCACGAAAAGGAGAAAGAAAAAGAGAAAGAAAAAGAGAAAGGAAAAGAGUGAAAGGAGGAGAAGAGGAAAUUGGUUUCAAGAAUCUCUAGGUGCCUAAGGAUUGAUUUGCUUUGUGUUCUUGAACACUACCAAUGAGAUUGUGCAGGUAAAUGAACAUGGAAGGCGGGACGGAUCCUAGGUGGCUUUGGCAUGUGUAUUGGGAGAGGAUUAAAGGAAUGGACCGAUGGAAUCCAUCGAGGAUGACGUUGACAUUUGAGUCUUUUAUUUAUGUAUUUAUGAUUUUUGCAUUUAGUAUUUGAACAUUUAAUUAAAGGGCUUGUUUUUCUUUAUGAGUUUAUGUAAUAACAAUGGGAUCCCAUAUUUUGGAUUUUCUAUAAUAAAGUUCUAUUAUUUUAUGUA